rnacentral:rRNA from 1 species
GACGUAGGGCGCGAGCGUUGUCCGGAUUUAUUGGGCGUAAAGAGCUCGUAGGUGGUUCGAUAAGUCGGGUGUGAAACCUCCAGGCUCAACCUGGAGACGCCACCCGAUACUGUCGUGACUAGAGUCCAGUAGGGGAGCGUGGAAUUCCUGGUGUAGCGGUGAAAUGCGCAGAUAUCAGGAGGAACACCAGCGGCGAAGGCGGCGCUCUGGGCUGGCACUGACACUGAGGAGCGAAAGCGUGGGGAGCGAACAGG